GAUGAACGCUGGCGGCGUGCCUAAUACAUGCAAGUCGAGCGAACAGACGAGGAGCUUGCUCCUCUGACGUUAGCGGCGGACGGGUGAGUAACACGUGGAUAACCUACCUAUAAUACUGGGAUAACUUCGGGAAACCGGAGCUAAUACUGGAUAAUAUAUUGAACCGCAUGGUUCAAUAGUGAAAGACGGUUUUGCUGUCACUUAUAGCUGGAUCCGCGCCGCAUUAGCUAGUUGGUAAGGUAACGGCUUACCAAGGCAACGAUGCGUAGCCGACCUGAGAGGGUGAUCGGCCACACUGGAACUGAGACACGGUCCAGACUCCUACGGGAGGCAGCAGUAGGGAAUCUUCCGCAAUGGGCGAAAGCCUGACGGAGCAACGCCGCGUGAGUGAUGAAGGUCUUCGGAUCGUAAAACUCUGUUAUUAGGGAAGAACAAAUGUGUAAGUAACUAUGCACGUCUUGACGGUACCUAAUCAGAAAGCAACGGCUAACUACGUG
rnacentral:rRNA from 1 species